AGGGGAAGCCGCCCUUCGGGGUGGUGGAGACUGGCGCACGGGUGAGGAACGCGUGGGAACCUGCCCUGGGGUGGGGAAUAACCGCUGGAAACGGCGGCUAAUACCGCAUGGCUCCGGAUCUUUAGGGGUUCGGGGAAAGGCUUCGGCCGCCCUGGGAGGGGCCCGCGUUGGAUUAGCUAGUUGGUGGGGUAAAGGCCCACCAAGGCUGCGAUCCAUAGCUGGUCUGAGAGGAUGAUCAGCCACACUGGGACUGAGACACGGCCCAGACUCCUACGGGAGGCAGCAGUGGGGAAUAUUGGACAAUGGGCGCAAGCCUGAUCCAGCCAUGCCGCGUGAGUGAAGAAGGCCUUAGGGUUGUAAAGCUCUUUCACCCGCGAAGAUGAUGACGGUAGCGGGAGAAGAAGCCCCGGCUAACUCCGUGCCAGCAGCCGCGGUAAUACGGAGGGGGCGAGCGUUGUUCGGAAUUACUGGGCGUAAAGGGCGCGUAGGCGGCGCGACACGUCAGGGGUGAAAGGCCCGGGCUCAACCUGGGAAUUGCCUUUGAAACUGUUGUGCUAGAGACCGGGAGAGGAUGGCGGAAUUCCCAGUGUAGAGGUGAAAUUCGUAGAUAUUGGGAAGAACACCGGUGG
rnacentral:rRNA from 1 species